GCCCACCUCAAGAUGAGUGCUCUCCUA
rnacentral:rRNA from 1 species